rnacentral:lncRNA from 1 species
CUCUGCGGCCGGGGCGUAGCUCUAGCUCAUCCCCCACCAGUUCAGCCACGGUAGGAUGAGGAGGAUGAGGGUUUGCGGGAGGAAAAGCUUUGGAGAGAUGGGGUGCGGGACUAUGGAACCCGCUUGAGUCCAGUAGGCCAGCGCGGGUCAUUUCCAUAAGAAAGCCGCAACCCAGCUGGAGGCUGCGGUUCUUCAUGGCCUCCCUGCCCCCACCAUCAUUGGCAGCGUGUCGCGGGCUUCUCUGCAGCCUAGAUCUAGGCGACUGGUGUGGAUUGGUGUUGAUGAGAUGUGGCUUCCAGCGUUGCCCGACUCAGACCUGUUUCCAGUCUGGAUGGAGCGGACCGACUGUGUGGGAUGGGGUGAGAGGAACAAGUGAAACUCAACAGCUAAGGAGAAAAUGAAGAACUAGUGCUACGUUUUCCACGUUCUUUUUGCUCCGGGGUUGACAUGGCAUUUGGCCUUUCUACCUGGAGAAAAUCAAGAGUAUGUAACUUUCCCUGCAGAUGGUCUGUCUGUAAGAGCUGACACAGGAACCUUUGGGAGCCAGUAUCUAUUUUGUUUCCGACUGCAAAGUUCCAGCCAAUGAUUUGGAGGGGGGCCGGCACCUUCUGCUGGGAGCUAGUCUGGGAGGGAA